rnacentral:rRNA from 1 species
UAGGUGUGGGGACCAUUCCACGGUUUCCGCGCCGCAGCUAACGCAUUAAGUGCCCCGCCUGGGGAGUACGGCCGCAAGGCUAAAACUCAAAGGAAUUGACGGGGGCCCGCACAAGCGGCGGAGCAUGCGGAUUAAUUCGAUGCAACGCGAAGAACCUUACCAAGGCUUGACAUGUUCUCGAUCGCCGUAGAGAUACGGUUUCCCCUUUGGGGCGGGAUCACAGGUGGUGCAUGGUUGUCGUCAGCUCGUGUCGUGAGAUGUUGGGUUAAGUCCCGCAACGAGCGCAACCCUCGUUCCAUGUUGCCAGCACGUAAUGGUGGGGACUCAUGGGAGACUGCCGGGGUCAACUCGGAGGAAGGUGGGGACGACGUCAAAUCAUCAUGCCCCUUAUGUCUUGGGCUUCACGCAUGCUACAAUGGCCGGUACAAUGGGUUGCGAUACUGUGAGGUGGAGCUAAUCCCAAAAAGCCGGUCUCAGUUCGGAUUGGGGUCUGCAACUCGACCCCAUGAAGUCGGAGUCGCUAGUAAUCGCAGAUCAGCAACGCUGCGGUGAAUACGUUCCCGGGCCUUGUACACACCGCCCGUCAAGUCACGAAAGUCGGUAACACCCGAAGCCGGUGGCCUAACCCUUGUGGGGGGAGCCGUCGAAGGUGGGGC